rnacentral:rRNA from 1 species
AACAGGAUUAGAUACCCUGGUAGUCCAUGCCGUAAACGAUGUCUACUAGCCGUUGGGGCCUUUGAGGCUUUAGUGGCGCAGCUAACGCGAUAAGUAGACCGCCUGGGGAGUACGGUCGCAAGACUAAAACUCAAAUGAAUUGACGGGGGCCCGCACAAGCGGUGGAGCAUGUGGUUUAAUUCGAUGCAACGCGAAGAACCUUACCUGGCCUUGACAUACUAGAAACUUUCCAGAGAUGGAUUGGUGCCUUCGGGAAUCUAGAUACAGGUACUGCUUGGCUGUCGUCAGCUCGUGUCGUGAGAUGUUGGGUUAAGUCCCGCAACGAGCGCAACCCUUUUCCUUACUUGCCAGCAUUUCGGAUGGGAACUUUAAGGAUACUGCCAGUGACAAACUGGAGGAUGGCGGGGACGACGUCAAGUCAUCAUGGCCCUUACGGCCAGGGCUACACACGUGCUACAAUGGUCGGUACAAAGGGUUGCUACACAGCGAUGUGAUGCUAAUCUCAAAAAGCCGAUCGUAGUCCGGAUUGGAGUCUGCAACUCGACUCCAUGAAGUCGGAAUCGCUAGUAAUCGCGGAUCAGAAUGCCGCGGUGAAUACGUUCCCGGGCCUUGUACACACCGCCCGUCACACCAUGGGAGUUUGUUGCACCAGAAGUAGGUAGUCUAACCGCAAGGAGGACGCUUACCACGGUGUGGCCGAUGACUGGGGUGAAGUCGUAACAAGGUAACC